rnacentral:rRNA from 1 species
GCGUACACGGUGGAUGCCCUGGCAGUCAGAGGCGAUGAAGGACGUGCUAAUCUGCGAAAAGCGCCGGCGAGGUGAUAUGAACCCUUGACCCGGCGAUGUCCGAAUGGGGAAACCCAGUGUGAUUCGUCACACUAUCGUUAACUGAAUACAUAGGUUAACGAGGCGAACCGGGGGAACUGAAACAUCUAAGUACCCCGAGGAAAAGAAAUCAACCGAGAUUCCCCCAGUAGCGGCGAGCGAACGGGGAG